GGGCCUGUAGCUCAGUCGGUAGAGCAUUUGACUUUUAAUCAAAGGGUCGUGGGUUCGAAUCCCGCCAGGCUCACCA
rnacentral:tRNA from 1 species